CAUCUUUUCAUCUGCACCUCUUAUCCAUCUAAAAUUCACUUACACCCUAUGGGUCUUACCUUUUUAGGUAAAUCAAUGAAUGUCCAUACAUCAUCGAUCUUCAUGGACUUUAUUUCAGAUUUAAUGGCUCCAAGCUACUUCUCAAAGUUAGAUCCCUAUAUUGCAUCCAUAUGGGAGAUCAAAUCUCCAUCCCAAACUUAGAAAUCGAAAUAUCU
rnacentral:lncRNA from 1 species